rnacentral:rRNA from 1 species
UACGGAGGGGGCGAGCGUUAUUCGGAAUUAUUGGGCGUAAAGGGCGCGUAGGCGGCCCGGUAAGUCAAAGGUGAAAUCCCUCGGCUCAACUGAGGAACUGCCUUUGAAACUGUCAGGCUUGAGGCCGGGAGGGGGUGGCGGAAUUCCCGGUGUAGUGGUGAAAUGCGUAGAUAUCGGGAGGAACACCAGUGGCGAAGGCGGCUUCCUGGCCCGUUCUUGACGCUGAGGCGCGAAAGCUGAGGGGAGCAAACGGGG